rnacentral:rRNA from 1 species
GACGAACCGUGCGAACGUUGUUCGGAAUAACUGGGCUUAAAGGGCGCGUAGGCGGGCUGACAAGUCUGGGGUGAAAUCCCACGGCUCAACCGUGGAACUGCCUCAGAUACUGUCGGCCUCGAGGGAGGUAGGGGCGUGCGGAACAGUUGGUGGAGCGGUGAAAUGCGUUGAUAUCAACUGGAACUCCGGUGGCGAAGGCGGCACGCUGGACCUUUUCUGACGCUGAGGCGCGAAAGCCAGGGGAGCAAACGGG